UGGGGAAUAUUGGACAAUGGGCGCAAGCCUGAUCCAGCCAUGCCGCGUGGAUGAAGAAGGCCCUAGGGUUGUAAAGUCCUUUCGACGGAGACGAUAAUGACGGUAUCCGUAGAAGAAGCCCCGGCUAAUUUCGUGCCAGCAGCCGCGGUAAUACGAAAGGGGCUAGCGUUGUUCGGAAUUACUGGGCGUAAAGAGUCUGUAGGCGGUAAAGUCAGUCAGGUGUGAAAUCCCAGGGCUCAACCCUGGAACUGCAUUUGAUACUGCUUUGCUCAGAGUAUUGGAGGGGAAUCUGGAAUUCUCGGUGUAGCAGUGAAAUGCGUGGAUAUCGAGAGGAACACUAGUGGCGAAGGCGAGAUUCUGGACAAUUACUGACGCUGAGAGACGAAGGCCAGGGGAGCAAAAAGGAUUAGAUACCCAAGUAGUCCCUGAGCGGGCUGGCAAGGCGCAU
rnacentral:rRNA from 1 species